CGCGUGAGAAUCUGCCUUCUGGUCUGGGACAACAGAGGGAAACUUCUGCUAAUCCCGGAUAAGCCUACGGGUGAAAGAUUAAUUGCCUGGAGAUGAGCUCGCGUCUGAUUAGCUAGUUGGUAAGGUAAAAGCUUACCAAGGCGACGAUCAGUAGCUGGUCUGAGAGGAUGAGCAGCCACACUGGGACUGAGACACGGCCCAGACUCCUACGGGAGGCAGCAGUGGGGAAUUUUCCGCAAUGGGCGAAAGCCUGACGGAGCAAGACCGCGUGGGGGAGGAAGGCUCUAGGGUUGUAAACCCCUUUUCUUUGGGAAGAAGUACUGACGGUACCAAAGGAAUCAGCCUCGGCUAACUCCGUGCCAGCAGCCGCGGUAAUACGGAGGAGGCAAGCGUUAUCCGGAAUGAUUGGGCGUAAAGCGUCCGCAGGUGGCCAUGUAAGUCUGCUGUCAAAACCCAGGGCUUAACUCUGGUUAGGCAGUGGAAACUACAAAGCUAGAGUCUGGUAGGGGCCAAGGGAAUUCCCGGUGUAGCGGUGAAAUGCGUAGAGAUCGGGAAGAACAUCGGUGGCGAAAGCGCUUGGCUAGACCAGAACUGACACUCAGGGACGAAAGCUAGGGGAGCGAAUGGGAUUAA
rnacentral:rRNA from 1 species